GUGUCACCAGUCUUCAAGCAAGCCUUCAGGAAGACUAAACAGUGGGGUUGAAAAGGCAGCGAUAAGCAAACUGGCUUUCUUCACAAACUCCAGAGUGAGAGGAACGGAGAGACCGUGAACUGUGGAAUGUUACGUGUGAAAAUACGUGGGAGCAAGCCAAGAAAAAGUCUGAGCUUCCAAAAGGCAUUAAGAGAAAAUAUGGACUCUGUCAAACACAUCAAGAUGCAGGCCAGGAGAGCCUCAAAGUUAGAAAACAAAACAAGAAGCUCAAAGACGUUAAAGCUGCAGCUGAAGGGCUGCAGCUCUUGGUUUGCUUCCAGGCAGUAAAGCUUCUGGGGCCGUUUGUACGGGGAAAGCUUUCUCUGGGCAGGAUCUGCUUGAUGUCCUGACAGGUGGGAGAGGCUGGGGAGCGAGCAGCCACAAAGGAGCCUCUGUGGCAUCGCAGUGCAAUAUCUCCACGAUGGCUGGUGUGGGAUGUAACAUCCCUUGUGAGGAGAUGGACCCUGGGCAUUGUUGGGGAGCUGUGCGGCUGCACAGCCGGUGCUGCUCGAAAUGUCAGCAGCAGCUGUAGCAGCUGGCUGUGGUGCACAUGGACAAAUAUGGAAUGUUAGAGAGGAGGCAGUGCAGUGCUGGCUGCAGGAGCAGCCUCCAGACAGGCAUCUCGGCUCCCUGCAGAGACCAGCAAGCGUGUGCUAGGGGGAGAGGGUCGGGAGGGACCCGUCCUGCAGUCCAACAGGCCUUCAGCAAGACCUCCCCAUAUGCACUGCAGGAGAAGUCACUCCACAGCAGACAGCAUGGGAAAGAUGAGCAGAGCAAACAUCAGAGCCUGGAGCUGCCUGCAGAGUGGGGAACAGUGCCUGAGCAGGGACCCAGCGCCUGUCCUCUGCGGUGUGACAGCACUUCUCUCAGACUGAGAAUGUUUACUUUGUUUGCUCCUCUGAAACUGGAAACUGUGGAGCCAAUGCCUGCCUAUGGUGUGAGCUCUCCCCAUCCUCAGCCAGGCACGGUGAAGAGGCAGCGCUAUGGAGUGAGGCUGAGGGGCAAAUUCCUGGGAGUCAGCCUGGCUGCAGGUGGCCCAGCAUCAAGCCCGUGGUCCAAAACUGCCCCACCACCUGCUGCAGAUGUCUCUCGUUCUGAGCAGAGCAGUGUGUGCCCACCCACAUAUGGCACCGGGGAUGACCUGCUCUGAUUUCUGACCCACAUUGGUUAGUCAUCAUAUAUAUGCUGCAAGGACAGCCAUGCAACUCCUUGUGCUUUAACAGUACUUAAAGUGGCAAGGGUGAACGUAACUGCCCUGGAUGGAUUUAAGCUCACCCCAGAUGUGCUUUCUGCUCCCCAGCUGUGUCAGAGCUGUGCCCCUCUUUAUCCCUGGGCAGAUCUGGGCCCCGUUGCAGCCCAACUCCUGCUGCUGUGCAGCAAGCUGGUGUCCACAUUUGAGUGAAGGAACCUGAAGCUGGAAGUCUGCUAGAAACAGGCAGGGCCAUCUCCGCCUGCGCAGAGAGCUGGACUUAGCAAUUUGCAGUGACAGUGGGAUAAAAGAAAGGACACCGGCAUAUCUGAGAGGAUCAGGUGCUCUAUCAACCUCUGCCUGAGCUGUUAUUGGCACAGAGAUGCUGCACCCCGUGCUGGAGACAGCCCAGAGCCCCAUGGCCCCAGGGCUGUGGGGUGUGCCAGGCUCUGCAGCCUGCCUGCAGGUGCCGUUGUCACCCAAUGGGGCUGCCAGGAGCGGGACGGGCAGAGGGCACGGCGGUUCUCACAGCUCCCCAUCCAGGAGGGCAGCAGGGCCAUGAGAGCCGCACGGGAAGCCAUGCGCCCGGCUGUGGAGUCGUGGGGACUGCACUUGUUUUUUCCUCAUUAAUCUCCAGCAACGAAGCCAGGGUUGGCUAUCCCGGGGGAGCUGGGAUCUGUGGGAGCAGGAGGUCUGCGUGGAUGCCGUCCAGCAGACGCUGAGCAACCUUGCGUGCGGUCCGUCCAGCUGCAGCACAGCUCCCACUGUGCCAACCUCCUGCUGCUCCGAGGGGAUCUCAGCGGCUCAGAGCACACAGGGAUGCCCCUGCAGAUUUAUUCUCCCACCUCGUGCCUGGCCCUCCACCUCUUUCAGCCCCAGCUGGGUGAGGAGGGGCUGGGGAGAUGCUGCGCAGUGCCUUUCUGCUGAGCAAAAACACGAGUUGCACAGAAAUAGCCGGUGUUUUCCCCAGACCUUUGUCUAGGAAUAAAUGUUUGUUUUGUCCAUUUCAA